GACGGAGGGGGCUAGCGUUGUUCGGAAUGACUGGGCGUAAAGGGCGCGUAGGCGGUUUUUUAAGUUAGGCGUGAAAGCCCUGGGCUUAACCCAGGAGGUGCGUUUAAGACUGGAAGACUUGAGUGUGAGAGAGGAAAGCGGAAUUCCUAGUGUAGAGGUGAAAUUCGUAGAUAUUAGGAAGAACACCCGUGGCGAAGGCGGCUUUCUGGCUCACAACUGACGCUGAGGCGCGAAAGCGUGGGGAGCAAACAGG
rnacentral:rRNA from 1 species